GGGGAAACCCAGUGUGUUUCGACACACUAUCAUUAACUGAAUCCAUAGGUUAAUGAGGCGAACCGGGGGAACUGAAACAUCUAAGUACCCCGAGGAAAAGAAAUCAACCGAGAUUCCCCCAGUAGCGGCGAGCGAACGGGGAGGAGCCCAGAGCCUGAAUCAGUGUGUGUGUUAGUGGAAGCGUCUGGAAAGGCGCGCGAUACAGGGUGACAGCCCCGUACACAAAAAUGCACAUAUUGUGAGCUCGAUGAGUAGGGCGGGACACGUGGUAUCCUGUCUGAAUAUGGGGGGACCAUCCUCCAAGGCUAAAUACUCCUGACUGACCGAUAGUGAACCAGUACCGUGAGGGAAAGGCGAAAAGAACCCCGGCGAGGGGAGUGAAAAAGAACCUGAAACCGUGUACGUACAAGCAGUGGGAGCCUCUUAAUGGGGUGACUGCGUACCUUUUGUAUAAUGGGUCAGCGACUUAUAUUCUGUAGCAAGGUUAACCGAAUAGGGGAGCCGAAGGGAAACCGAGUCUUAACUGGGCGUUAAGUUGCAGGGUAUAGACCCGAAACCCGGUGAUCUAGCCAUGGGCAGGUUGAAGGUUGGGUAACACUAACUGGAGGACCGAACCGACUAAUGUUGAAAAAUUAGCGGAUGACUUGUGGCUGGGGGUGAAAGGCCAAUCAAACCGGGAGAUAGCUGGUUCUCCCCGAAAGCUAUUUAGGUAGCGCCUCGUGAAUUCAUCUCCGGGGGUAGAGCACUGUUUCGGCAAGGGGGUCAUCCCGACUUACCAACCCGAUGCAAACUGCGAAUACCGGAGAAUGUUAUCACGGGAGACACACGGCGGGUGCUAACGUCCGUCGUGAAGAGGGAAACAACCCAGACCGCCAGCUAAGGUCCCAAAGUCAUGGUUAAGUGGGAAACGAUGUGGGAAGGCCCAGACAGCCAGGAUGUUGGCUUAGAAGCAGCCAUCAUUUAAAGAAAGCGUAAUAGCUCACUGGUCGAGUCGGCCUGCGCGGAAGAUGUAACGGGGCUAAACCAUGCACCGAAGCUGCGGCAGCGACACUAUGUGUUGUUGGGUAGGGGAGCG
rnacentral:rRNA from 1 species